rnacentral:rRNA from 1 species
UACGUAGGGGGCAAGCGUUGUCCGGAAUUAUUGGGCGUAAAGCGCGUGUAGGCGGCUCGGUAAGUCUGCUGUGAAAGUCCAAGGCUCAACCUUGGAAAGCCGGUGGAUACUGUCGAGCUCGAGUCCGGAAGAGGCGAGUGGAAUUCCUGGUGUAGCGGUGAAAUGCGCAGAUAUCAGGAGGAACACCAAUGGCGAAGGCAGCUCGCUGGGACGGUACUGACGCUGAGACGCGAAAGCGCGGGGAGCAAACAGG